rnacentral:misc_RNA from 1 species
UUAACUUAUUUUGCAAUAGCCACUCAGAAGCCCACUGGAUGCAGAAUUUACAGGGCCUUUGGCGGGCACCGCUAGGCUACAGCCCCCCCUGGGGCAGCCCGCCGAGGCAACAGUACAGGUAGGUUCACAAAGGGUUGGGAGUCUAUAACUCAGUAAUGAUCCCUCCGCUGGUUCACCAACGGAGA